GGAGGGGUGGCAGAGCGGCUGAAUGCACUGGUCUUGAAAACCAGCGAUACGAAAGUAUCCGUGGGUUCAAAUCCCACCCCCUCCGCCA
rnacentral:tRNA from 1 species